UGGGGAAUAUUGCACAAUGGAGGGAACUCUGAUGCAGCGACGCCGCGUGAACGAAGAAGGCAUUCGAGUCGUAAAGUUCUUUUAUAUGGGAAGAUAAUGACGGUACCAUAAGAAAAAGCCCCGGCUAACUACGUGCCAGCAGCCGCGGUAAUACGUAGGGGGCUAGCGUUGUCCGGAAUCACUGGGCGUAAAGGGUUCGCAGGCGGAAAUGCAAGUCAGGUGUAAAAGGCAGUAGCUUAACUACUGUAAGCAUUUGAAACUGCAUAUCUUGAGAAGAGUAGAGGUAAGUGGAAUUUUUAGUGUAGCGGUGAAAUGCGUAGAUAUUAAAAAGAAUACCGGUGGCGAAGGCGACUUACUGGGCUCAUACUGACGCUGAGGAACGAAAGCGUGGGUAGCAAACAGG
rnacentral:rRNA from 1 species